UACGUAGGGUGCAAGCGUUGUCCGGAAUUACUGGGCGUAAAGAGCUCGUAGGUGGUUUGUCGCGUUGUUCGUGAAAACCGGGGGCUUAACCCUCGGCGUGCGGGCGAUACGGGCAGACUUGAGUACUGCAGGGGAGACUGGAAUUCCUGGUGUAGCGGUGGAAUGCGCAGAUACCAGGAGGAACACCGGUGGCGAAGGCGGGUCUCUGGGCAGUAACUGACGCUGAGGAGCGAAAGCGUGGGGAGCGAACAGG
rnacentral:rRNA from 1 species